UGAAUUUUAAGUUAUAUUUAAACUUUGAGCCUUCCAAGCUAAAAAAAAGAGAGUCUUAAAUUCAA
rnacentral:tRNA from 1 species